UACGUAGGGGGCAAGCGUUGUCCGGAAUUAUUGGGCGUAAAGAGCUCGUAGGCGGUCUGUUGCGUCGGCUGUGAAAACCCGGGGCUCAACCCCGGGCCUGCAGCCGAUACGGGCAGACUAGAGUUCGGCAGGGGAGACUGGAAUUCCUGGUGUAGCGGUGAAAUGCGCAGAUAUCAGGAGGAACACCGGUGGCGAAGGCGGGUCUCUGGGCCGAUACUGACGCUGAGGCACGAAAGCGUGGGGAGCAAACAGG
rnacentral:rRNA from 1 species